rnacentral:rRNA from 1 species
UACGUAGGGGGCAAGCGUUGUCCGGAUUUAUUGGGCGUAAAGCGCGUGUAGGCGGCCAGGUAGGUCCGCUGUGAAAACCCGAGGCUCAACCUCGGGACGUCGGCGGAAACCAUCUGGCUAGAGUGCGGAAGAGGAGAGUGGAAUUCCCGGUGUAGCGGUGAAAUGCGCAGAUAUCGGGAAGAACACCCGUGGCGAAGGCGGCUCUCUGGGACGGUACUGACGCUGAGACGCGAAAGCGUGGGGAGCGAACAGG